rnacentral:rRNA from 1 species
GAUGAACGCUGGCGGCGUGCCUAAUACAUGCAAGUCGAGCGAACAGACGAGGAGCUUGCUCCUUUGACGUUAGCGGCGGACGGGUGAGUAACACGUGGGUAACCUACCUAUAAGACUGGGAUAACUUCGGGAAACCGGAGCUAAUACCGGAUAAUAUUUCGAACCGCAUGGUUCGAUAGUUAAAGAUGGCUUUGCUAUCACUUAUAGAUGGACCUGCGCCGUAUUAGCUAGUUGGUAAGGUAACGGCUUACCAAGGCAACGAUACGUAGCCGACCUGAGAGGGUGAUCGGCCACACUGGAACUGAGACACGGUCCAGACUCCUACGGGAGGCAGCAGUAGGGAAUCUUCCGCAAUGGGCGAAAGCCUGACGGAGCAACGCCGCGUGAGUGAUGAAGGUCUUCGGAUCGUAAAACUCUGUUAUUAGGGAAGAACAAACGUGUAAGUAACUGUGCACGUCUUGACGGUACCUAAUCAGAAAGCCACGGCUAACUACGUG